rnacentral:pre_miRNA from 1 species
UGAGGGGGGGGGGGGUCCCUUCAGCCCGGAUUGCAAGAGGGCGCAGGCCAGGCUGAGGUUCCCCACUGGUGCAUG